AACGCUGGCGGCGUGCCUAAUACAUGCAAGUCGAACGAGUUCUCGUUGAUGAUCGGUGCUUGCACCGAGAUUCAACAUGGAACGAGUGGCGGACGGGUGAGUAACACGUGGGUAACCUGCCCUUAAGUGGGGGAUAACAUUUGGAAACAGAUGCUAAUACCGCAUAGAUCCAAGAACCGCAUGGUUCUUGGCUGAAAGAUGGCGUAAGCUAUCGCUUUUGGAUGGACCCGCGGCGUAUUAGCUAGUUGGUGAGGUAAUGGCUCACCAAGGCGAUGAUACGUAGCCGAACUGAGAGGUUGAUCGGCCACAUUGGGACUGAGACACGGCCCAAACUCCUACGGGAGGCAGCAGUAGGGAAUCUUCCACAAUGGACGCAAGUCUGAUGGAGCAACGCCGCGUGAGUGAAGAAGGCUUUCGGGUCGUAAAACUCUGUUGUUGGAGAAGAAUGGUCGGCAGAGUAACUGUUGUCGGCGUGACGGUAUCCAACCAGAAAGCCACGGCUAACUACGUGCCAGCAGCCGCGGUAAUACGUAGGUGGCAAGCGUUAUCCGGAUUUAUUGGGCGUAAAGCGAGCGCAGGCGGUUUUUUAAGUCUGAUGUGAAAGCCCUCGGCUUAACCGAGGAAGCGCAUCGGAAACUGGGAAACUUGAGUGCAGAAGAGGACAGUGGAACUCCAUGUGUAGCGGUGAAAUGCGUAGAUAUAUGGAAGAACACCAGUGGCGAAGGCGGCUGUCUGGUCUGUAACUGACGCUGAGGCUCGAAAGCAUGGGUAGCGAACAGGAUUAGAUACCCUGGUAGUCCAUGCCGUAAACGAUGAAUGCUAGGUGUUGGAGGGUUUCCGCCCUUCAGUGCCGCAGCUAACGCAUUAAGCAUUCCGCCUGGGGAGUACGACCGCAAGGUUGAAACUCAAAGGAAUUGACGGGGGCCCGCACAAGCGGUGGAGCAUGUGGUUUAAUUCGAAGCAACGCGAAGAACCUUACCAGGUCUUGACAUCUUUUGAUCACCUGAGAGAUCAGGUUUCCCCUUCGGGGGCAAAAUGACAGGUGGUGCAUGGUUGUCGUCAGCUCGUGUCGUGAGAUGUUGGGUUAAGUCCCGCAACGAGCGCAACCCUUAUGACUAGUUGCCAGCAUUUAGUUGGGCACUCUAGUAAGACUGCCGGUGACAAACCGGAGGAAGGUGGGGAUGACGUCAAAUCAUCAUGCCCCUUAUGACCUGGGCUACACACGUGCUACAAUGGAUGGUACAACGAGUUGCGAGACCGCGAGGUCAAGCUAAUCUCUUAAAGCCAUUCUCAGUUCGGACUGUAGGCUGCAACUCGCCUACACGAAGUCGGAAUCGCUAGUAAUCGCGGAUCAGCACGCCGCGGUGAAUACGUUCCCGGGCCUUGUACACACCGCCCGUCACACCAUGAGAGUUUGUAACACCCGAAGCCGGUGGCGUAACCCUUUUAGGGAGCGAGCCGUCUAAGGUGGGACAAAUGAUUUAGGGUG
rnacentral:rRNA from 2 species